GUAGGGAAUAUUGGGCAAUGGUCGGAAGACUGACCCAGCCAUGCCGCGUGCAGGAAGACGGCCCUCUGGGUUGUAAACUGCUUUUAUCUGGGAAGAAAAAGGCCAUGCGUGGCAAAUUGCCGGUACCAGAUGAAUAAGCACCGGCUAACUCCGUGCCAGCAGCCGCGGUAAUACGGAGGGUGCAAGCGUUGUCCGGAUUUAUUGGGUUUAAAGGGUGCGUAGGCGGCUGAUUAAGUCAGCGGUGAAAGACUUCGGCUUAACCGGAGCAGUGCCGUUGAUACUGGUUGGCUUGAGUGUCGGAGGGGUACAUGGAAUUGAUGGUGUAGCGGUGAAAUGCAUAGAUACCAUCAGGAACACCGAUAGCGAAGGCAUUGUACUGGCCGACAACUGACGCUGAUGCACGAAAGUGUGGGGAUCGAACAGGAUUAGAAACCCUGGUAGUCC
rnacentral:rRNA from 1 species